AUGAUGCACCAGAUGAUAACAAUAAUGGAUCCAAUGGCAUACCAGACAGAGGACGCGAACCGAAAAACAUGUCUCAUGUACGCGGCCGAGAAGCUCCAUCAAGCUCUUUUCGAUUGCAUUGAAGAAUUCUUCACCGAGUGGCACUGUGGCCGGACGAGUUGGACGAACAAGACCCCUCUCUUGUCAACCACAACAUUUACAAGGCAAGAGAGUGCCAUGUGUGUCGUCCACCUACUUCGGCAAUUCAAAGGGAACUCGUUGGCGAAACCGCUCACCAGGGCAACUAUUGCCAAUGAAAGGGAUUCAAUCAUCAUUGAGAUGAUACACAUGGAAGGCAACACCGCUUCCCUCCAGCUGGAAGGUCUUGACACGGUCGCCAAUGCCCUAAACGAGACGGUGGCAGAUUCAGGGGUCUAG
rnacentral:rRNA from 1 species